UUAAGCGACUAAGCGUACACGGUGGAUGCCCUGGCAGUCAGAGGCGAUGAAGGACGUGCUAAUCUGCGAUAAGCGUCGGUAAGGUGAUAUGAACCGUUAUAACCGGCGAUUUCCGAAUGGGGAAACCCAGUGUGUUUCGACACACUAUCAUUAACUGAAUCCAUAGGUUAAUGAGGCGAACCGGGGGAACUGAAACAUCUAAGUACCCCGAGGAAAAGAAAUCAACCGAGAUUCCCCCAGUAGCGGCGAGCGAACGGGGAGCAGCCCAGAGCCUGAAUCAAUGUGUGUGUUAGUGGAAGCGUCUGGAAAGGCGCGCGAUACAGGGUGACAGCCCCGUACACAAAAAUGCACAUGCUGUGAGCUCGAUGAGUAGGGCGGGACACGUGGUAUCCUGUCUGAAUAUGGGGGGACCAUCCUCCAAGGCUAAAUACUCCUGACUGACCGAUAGUGAACCAGUACCGUGAGGGAAAGGCGAAAAGAACCCCGGCGAGGGGAGUGAAAAAGAACCUGAAACCGUGUACGUACAAGCAGUGGGAGCACGCUUAGGCGUGUGACUGCGUACCUUUUGUAUAAUGGGUCAGCGACUUAUAUUCUGUAGCAAGGUUAACCGAAUAGGGGAGCCGAAGGGAAACCGAGUCUUAACUGGGCGUUAAGUUGCAGGGUAUAGACCCGAAACCCGGUGAUCUAGCCAUGGGCAGGUUGAAGGUUGGGUAACACUAACUGGAGGACCGAACCGACUAAUGUUGAAAAAUUAGCGGAUGACUUGUGGCUGGGGGUGAAAGGCCAAUCAAACCGGGAGAUAGCUGGUUCUCCCCGAAAGCUAUUUAGGUAGCGCCUCGUGAAUUCAUCUCCGGGGGUAGAGCACUGUUUCGGCAAGGGGGUCAUCCCGACUUACCAACCCGAUGCAAACUGCGAAUACCGGAGAAUGUUAUCACGGGAGACACACGGCGGGUGCUAACGUCCGUCGUGAAGAGGGAAACAACCCAGACCGCCAGCUAAGGUCCCAAAGUCAUGGUUAAGUGGGAAACGAUGUGGGAAGGCCCAGACAGCCAGGAUGUUGGCUUAGAAGCAGCCAUCAUUUAAAGAAAGCGUAAUAGCUCACUGGUCGAGUCGGCCUGCGCGGAAGAUGUAACGGGGCUAAACCAUGCACCGAAGCUGCGGCAGCGACGCUUAUGCGUUGUUGGGUAGGGGAGCGUUCUGUAAGCCUGCGAAGGUGUGCUGUGAGGCAUGCUGGAGGUAUCAGAAGUGCGAAUGCUGACAUAAGUAACGAUAAAGCGGGUGAAAAGCCCGCUCGCCGGAAGACCAAGGGUUCCUGUCCAACGUUAAUCGGGGCAGGGUGAGUCGACCCCUAAGGCGAGGCCGAAAGGCGUAGUCGAUGGGAAACAGGUUAAUAUUCCUGUACUUGGUGUUACUGCGAAGGGGGGACGGAGAAGGCUAUGUUGGCCGGGCGACGGUUGUCCCGGUUUAAGCGUGUAGGCUGGUUUUCCAGGCAAAUCCGGAAAAUCAAGGCUGAGGUGUGAUGACGAGGCACUACGGUGCUGAAGCAACAAAUGCCCUGCUUCCAGGAAAAGCCUCUAAGCAUCAGGUAACAUCAAAUCGUACCCCAAACCGACACAGGUGGUCAGGUAGAGAAUACCAAGGCGCUUGAGAGAACUCGGGUGAAGGAACUAGGCAAAAUGGUGCCGUAACUUCGGGAGAAGGCACGCUGAUAUGUAGGUGAAGUCCCUCGCGGAUGGAGCUGAAAUCAGUCGAAGAUACCAGCUGGCUGCAACUGUUUAUUAAAAACACAGCACUGUGCAAACACGAAAGUGGACGUAUACGGUGUGACGCCUGCCCGGUGCCGGAAGGUUAAUUGAUGGGGUUAGCCGCAAGGCGAAGCUCUUGAUCGAAGCCCCGGUAAACGGCGGCCGUAACUAUAACGGUCCUAAGGUAGCGAAAUUCCUUGUCGGGUAAGUUCCGACCUGCACGAAUGGCGUAAUGAUGGCCAGGCUGUCUCCACCCGAGACUCAGUGAAAUUGAACUCGCUGUGAAGAUGCAGUGUACCCGCGGCAAGACGGAAAGACCCCGUGAACCUUUACUAUAGCUUGACACUGAACAUUGAGCCUUGAUGUGUAGGAUAGGUGGGAGGCUUUGAAGUGUGGACGCCAGUCUGCAUGGAGCCGACCUUGAAAUACCACCCUUUAAUGUUUGAUGUUCUAACGUUGACCCGUAAUCCGGGUUGCGGACAGUGUCUGGUGGGUAGUUUGACUGGGGCGGUCUCCUCCUAAAGAGUAACGGAGGAGCACGAAGGUUGGCUAAUCCUGGUCGGACAUCAGGAGGUUAGUGCAAUGGCAUAAGCCAGCUUGACUGCGAGCGUGACGGCGCGAGCAGGUGCGAAAGCAGGUCAUAGUGAUCCGGUGGUUCUGAAUGGAAGGGCCAUCGCUCAACGGAUAAAAGGUACUCCGGGGAUAACAGGCUGAUACCGCCCAAGAGUUCAUAUCGACGGCGGUGUUUGGCACCUCGAUGUCGGCUCAUCACAUCCUGGGGCUGAAGUAGGUCCCAAGGGUAUGGCUGUUCGCCAUUUAAAGUGGUACGCGAGCUGGGUUUAGAACGUCGUGAGACAGUUCGGUCCCUAUCUGCCGUGGGCGCUGGAGAACUGAGGGGGGCUGCUCCUAGUACGAGAGGACCGGAGUGGACGCAUCACUGGUGUUCGGGUUGUCAUGCCAAUGGCACUGCCCGGUAGCUAAAUGCGGAAGAGAUAAGUGCUGAAAGCAUCUAAGCACGAAACUUGCCCCGAGAUGAGUUCUCCCUGACCCUUUAAGGGUCCUGAAGGAACGUUGAAGACGACGACGUUGAUAGGCCGGGUGUGUAAGCGCAGCGAUGCGUUGAGCUAACCGGUACUAAUGAACCGUGAGGCUUAACCUU
rnacentral:rRNA from 1 species